rnacentral:rRNA from 1 species
UAGGGAAUCUUCCGCAAUGGGCGAAAGCCUGACGGAGCAACGCCGCGUGAGUGAUGAAGGUCUUCGGAUCGUAAAACUCUGUUAUUAGGGAAGAACAUACGUGUAAGUAACUAUGCACGUCUUGACGGUACCUAAUCAGAAAGCCACGGCUAACUACGUGCCAGCAGCCGCGGUAAUACGUAGGUGGCAAGCGUUAUCCGGAAUUAUUGGGCGUAAAGCGCGCGUAGGCGGUUUUUUAAGUCUGAUGUGAAAGCCCACGGCUCAACCGUGGAGGGUCAUUGGAAACUGGAAAACUUGAGUGCAGAAGAGGAAAGUGGAAUUCCAUGUGUAGCGGUGAAAUGCGCAGAGAUAUGGAGGAACACCAGUGGCGAAGGCGACUUUCUGGUCUGUAACUGACGCUGAUGUGCGAAAGCGUGGGGAUCAAACA